GGGCAGCACUGAACAGACCCUGGCACUGUCAUCUUGGCACCUGCCUUUGAGGUAUGAGAAGGGAUCUCAUCAACCUAUAGAUGAUGAAAUUCCUUCUCAGGCAGCCCCCCCAGUCUCUCCUCAGAUGCUCCAGACCCCCAUCACCCAUCACCUCUGCUGACCCUCUCCAGCAGCUCCUUGUCUUUCUUGUGCUGAGGAGCCCAGAACUGGACACAGCUCUCAGAUGUGGCUUCACUAGGGCCAGAGAGGCAGGACCACCUCCCUUGUCCUGCUGGCCACACUUUUCCUGAUGCACCCCAGGAUACCACUGGCACUCCUGGCCACGGGGGCACUGCUGGCUCAUGGGUCAGCUUGUCACCCACCAAAACACCCUGGUCCUUCUCUGCAGAGCUGGAUCAACCCCCAGCCUGUGCUGGUACUUGGGAUUAUUCCUCCCCAGGAGCAGAAUCCCACACUUCCUUUGUGGAAUCCUGGGUUAAUAAGAUCUGAAGCCAGAUCUUGUGUAGUCUUUUUCACUUCAAAAGCAGGUCUACAUCAAGGAGGUCCAAUUAAGCCUCUGAUCACCCUGGGAUGUCAAAUGUCCCAAAAGAGGACUCCCAAAACACAGGACAUCAUUCAGGGAGAUCUACACAGAAGUCAGAGGGAAUGGAGAGAGCCAGCAGAGAGAAAAUGUUGCAGUUUAACGAUGCAACUCAGGAGUAAGAGAAAAGAGCAGAAAGUUAAUACUUAAAACCCGGCCCACAGGGGUGCCCAGUGCUUUUUGUAGAUAGCAAAGCACUCACAAUAUUCACUGGAAGUAUCACCUCCAGCUUAUAAAGCAAAACUGCACAGAUUUCCCUCAAAUAAUUGCAUUACUUCUUACACUUUUCAAAAUCAAUUUGUGACAUGUUGUCUCACCUGA